GGAGCAUGCUACUAAUGCUUUUAGAAUGCAAGGUGAAACCUGGAAGGUUGUCUCUGCCAAUCUUCUUUAUAUAUCUUUGUAUGGCUAAAUUCCCUUUUCCUAACUGCCAUGAGAAUGAUUCGGUUCUACGCUGUUCCCUGGACUACUGUGACUGUGAUCUGCAAAAGAGCUAGAGAGUUUGCAGAUAAUUAAAGCCAGAAUUCUGCCUGGUUGGGUAACCAUGAGUUUUUGUGCUUGCACAGUCUUCGUUUUCAAAAGCAUUGUCUGUUUUGUGCUGACAGUGAAGCCAUCUCAGAAGGUGAACCUGGGAAAAUUCAGGUAUUCUCUGAUUCUCUGGAAGGAAAAGGGUAAUGGAAACUUGCAGAAGAACAGUAGAUCUAAUGAGAGGAAGAGUGAGGAAAUGAAGGAUCUGAUGAAUAAAAAACAACAAAAAGAACCCAUACAUUUGGUAAAGAAAGAAAGAAGCCCUUACAGAGUGUGA
rnacentral:lncRNA from 1 species